rnacentral:misc_RNA from 1 species
CGCACAUUGCGCCCUUUGGUAUUCCGAGGGGCAUGCCUGUUCGAGCGUCAUUUAAACCAUCAAGCACGGCUUGGCCUUGGACCCGGGUAGAUUUAUUACCCCGUCCCAAACUUUAGGUUGGCGUUCCCGUCGAGCUUUAAGCGUAGCAAGAAUUAAUCCCUCGCUUUGAAGAUUGGACGGGGGCGGCUCAAAAAAAUCACCCCCAAAGUUUGACCUCGGAUCAGGUAGGGAUACCCGCUGAACUUAA